rnacentral:rRNA from 1 species
UACGAAGGGGGCUAGCGUUGCUCGGAAUCACUGGGCGUAAAGGGUGCGUAGGCGGGUCUUUCAGUCAGGGGUGAAAUCCUGGAGCUCAACUCCAGAACUGCCUUUGAUACUGAGGAUCUUGAGUUCGGGAGAGGUGAGUGGAACUGCGAGUGUAGAGGUGAAAUUCGUAGAUAUUCGCAAGAACACCAGUGGCGAAGGCGGCUCACUGGCCCGAUACUGGCGCUGAGGCACGAAAGCGUGGGGAGCAAACAGG